UGGCACUAUUCGUAACCUUUUGCUUGGUUGUAGCUAGUAGGUUCCAUUCUAGUGCCACAGCAUUUCCAAUGAUGAAUGACUGACUGACAUUAGUGUCUUUCAGUUUCAGGAAUUGGAGACAGAU
ensembl:snoRNA